rnacentral:rRNA from 1 species
AGGAUUAACGCUGGCGGCGUGCCUGACACAUGCAAGUCGAACGAGGCCGCAAGGCCGAGUGGCGGACGGGUGAGUAACACGUGACCAACCAACCUCGAAGUUGGGAAUAGCUCUGCGAAAGUAGGGGUAAUACCGAAUGUGGCCCAGGGCGGGCAUCCGCCUUGGUCUAAAGAUUCAUCGCUUCGAGACGGGGUCGCGGCCUAUUAGCUUGUUGGUGAGGUAACGGCUCACCAAGGCGAUGAUGGGUAGCUGGUCUGAGAGGACGACCAGCCACACUGGGACUGAGACACGGCCCAGACUCCUACGGGAGGCAGCAGUGAGGAAUCUUCCGCAAUGGGCGAAAGCCUGACGGAGCAACGCCGCGUGUGGGAUGAAAGACUCUAGGGUUGUAAAACCACUGUCGGAGGGACGAUCGUGACGGUACCCUCCAAGGAAAGCCCCGGACUAACUACGCGCCCAGCAGCCGC